GCGGAGGAGAGAGGGGCGAAGAAGAGGAGAGAAGGGUGAAGAAGUGGAGGACAGAGGGGUGAAGUACAGAGGGGUGAAGAGAGGAGAGGGGUUAAGAGAGGAGAGAGGGGUGAAGGAGAGCGGACAGAGGGGUGCAGGACAGAGGGGUGAAGGAGAGCAGAGAAAGCAGGGAAGGAGAGCGGAGAGAGGGGCGAAGAAGAGAGGGGUAAAGAAGAGAGGGGUGAAGAAGAGGAGAGAAGGGUGAAGAAGAGAGGACAGAGGGGUGAAGUACAGAGGGGUGAAGAGAGGUGAGGGGUUAAGAGAGGAGAGGGGGUGAAGAGAGAGGAGAGAAGGAGAGAGGGGUGAAGGAGAGCGGACAGAGGGGUGCAGGACAGAGGGGUGAAGGAGAGCAGAGAGAGCAGUGAAGGAGAGCAGAGAGAGGGGCG
ensembl:lncRNA